GAUUAAGCCAUGCAUGUAUAAGUAUAAACGCUUUAAGCGUGAAACCGCGAACGGCUCAUUACAACAGCUAUAAUUUACUUGAUCUUGACAAACUUACAUGGAUAACUGAGGUAAUUCUUGAGCUAAUACAUGCACCAAAGCUUUGACCGUAAGGGAAGAGCGCAUUUAUUAGAACAAAACCAAACGGCUUCGGCUGUUCCCAGUUGAAUCAGAAUAACUCAGCUGAUCGUACGGUCUUGCACCGACGACGUGUCUUUCAAGUAUCUGCUUUAUCAACUUUCGAUGGUAGGGUAUCUGCCUACCAUGGUGGUGACGGAUAACGGAGGAUCAGGGUUCGACUCCGGAGAAGGGGCCUGAGAAAUGGCCACUACGUCUAAGGAUGGCAGCAGGCGCGCAAAUUACCCACUCUCAGAAUUUGGAGGAGGUAGUGACGAGAAAUAACGAGGUUGAUCUCUUCUGAGGCCAACCAUCGGAAUGGGUACAAUUUAAACCCUUUAACGAGUAUCUAUGAGAGGGCAAGUCUGGUGCCAGCAGCCGCGGUAAUUCCAGCUCUCAAAAUGCAUAGAAUUAUUGCUGCGGUUAAAAAGCUCGUAGUUGGAUCUGCAGCCGGAGCUCCGGUCCAUCUUCGGAUAUGUACUGGAUGUCUCCGGCUUUCUGACAGUGUUCGGCUCUGUGCCUCUAACCAGGUGUGGAUGUCCGAUACUGUAAGUUUACUUUGAAUAAAUCAGAGUGCUCUAAACAGGCGUUUUGCUUGAAUGAUUGUGCAUGGAAUAAUAGAAGAGGAUUUCGGUUCUAUUUUAUUGGUUUUAUAGACUGAGAUAAUGGUUAACAGAGACAAACGGGGGCAUUUGUAUGGCUACGUGAGAGGU
rnacentral:rRNA from 1 species